UACAAAGUAGCAAAUCAGAUACGUAUUAGUGAAACAUUAAUGCCCUGAAAAUAUGUUUCUUCUUUUUGUUAGCUUUCUGUUCUUCAUCUCGGCCAGCCUGCCAUAAAAAAGCUGGUUGUCAGUGUAGCAACGGGACUAAAUCCCGCUCCUUGGAGAGGCUGACGCAAGGAAGGGGCAUUGGAGAAAUACUGCAUUUCAUAAACAAAAUCACUAGAGCAUUAGGAGAGCAAACAUGUGGUUUUAUGAACAUAGUUAUAAAUAUUUAAACAUGCAAAAUGAAAAUGUUACUAAAUAUCUGUUUUUCAUUAUCUUUCGAUGAACAUUUUCAUUCUUGGAAGCGUUGCUGGCUGUCUGCACGGAGUGAUCACCACCCCCUCCCCAGAAUGAAUGAUGUGUGAUGUGAAAACAUGUUAAAAUGCACAGUUGUUUGUAAUAUCUUCUACCAAAGUGGAAGACAUUCUACCAAAUUUGGUAUUCUACUGAAUCGCAGAGUGUUCUUGCCCAACAAACAGGCAACCAUCCUGAUCUGUCAGCAACUCGCUUGCUGGAUGUUAUGAAAAAUCUGAGGAUGGUUUAGAAAACAUAAGAUGUCACUCAGCGAGCUUGGAGUCAUGUCCUGCCAUCCUUUCUGCGGCAGAAUUCCUACGGAAGUCAACAAAAGAUGCGGCUGCUGAUUUUAUCAUUAGCAAUGUAUUAUUUUGACGUGUCAGCGAGCGUGGAAGAGUGCUGUGUGUGUCUGUGGAAGGGAUAGGAGGCUGCAGCAGAGUUUGGGGUGGGAGCCGGGCGGUGCCCGUGGCAGGGCUCUGAGUGUGGGGUGAGGCUGCUCCCCUCGCUGGGAUGGGGGCAGGCAGGGCUGUUCACACCUGUGCAGCUGCUCCCCUCGCUGGGAUGGGGGCAGGCAGGGCUGUACACACCUGUGCAGCUGCUCCCCUCGCUGGGAUGGGGGCAGGCAGGGCUGUACACACCUGUGCAGCUGCUCCCCUCGCUGGGAUGGGGGCAGGCAGGGCUGUACACACCUGUGCAGCUGCUCCCCUCGCUGGGAUGGGGGCAGGCAGGGCUGUACACACCUGUGCAGCUGCUCCCCUCGCUGGGAUGGGGGCAGGCAGGGCUGUACACACCUGUGCAGCUGCUCCCCUCGCUGGGAUGGGGGCAGGCAGGGCUGUACACACCUGUGCAGCUGCUCCCCUCGCUGGGAUGGGGGCAGGCAGGGCUGUACACACCUGUGCAGCUGCUCCCCUCGCUGGGAUGGGGGCAGGCAGGGCUGCACACACCUGUGCAGCUGCUCCCCUCGCUGGGAUGGGGGCAGGCAGGGCUGCACACACCUGUGCAGCUGCUCCCCUCGCUGGGAUGGGGGCAGGCAGGGCUGCACACACCUGUGCAGCUGCUCCCCUCGCUGGGAUGGGGGCAGGCAGGGCUGCACACACCUGUGCAGCUGCUCCCCUCGCUGGGAUGGGGGCAGGCAGGGCUGCACACACCUGUGCAGCUGCUCCCCUCGCUGGGAUGGGGGCAGGCAGGGCUGCACACACCUGUGCAGCUGCUCCCCUCGCUGGGAUGGGGGCAGGCAGGGCUGCACACACCUGUGCAGCUGCUCCCCUCGCUGGGAUGGGGGCAGGCAGGGCUGCACACACCUGUGCAGCUGCUCCCCUCGCUGGGAUGGGGGCAGGCAGGGCUGCACACACCUGUGCAGCUGCUCCCCUCGCUGGGAUGGGGGCAGGCAGGGCUGCACACACCUGUGCAGCUGCUCCCCUCGCUGGGAUGGGGGCAGGCAGGGCUGCACACACCUGUGCAGCUCAGCCUGUGGGAGUGCAGCUGUGAGUGAGCAGGGCUGCGUGUGGGAGUGCAGCUGUGAGUGAGCAGGGCUCCAAUACACACCUGUGCAGCUCAGCCUGUGGGAGUGCAGCUGGGAGCAAGCAGGGCUCGCUGUGCAUCACUGCUCGUGGUAGGGCAGGUGUCUGAUUCCUUAGGCUCAGCCUAGGCACCGUCUCUUGGCCUCUGCCUGGGCUGUGGAUGUCAUCAAAUCAGGUGCCAAAGGAGAUUUCUUUUUAAAGUACUAAAGAGCCCAUUUUGUAUUAGUCCCACAGUGAAGGCUGGCUGUGGUGGUGUCUGGUGGAGGCACGGCCCUGGUGCGCUGGCACAUCCGCACGCACGCGCACGCUCUUUGCUAUUCCUCCUGCAGUUGCUCCCACCAAUAAAUCUGCACUUGCUGUAGCCAGGAUGGAAAUCUUUAAGACAAAGGACUUGAAUGGGCAGUUUUUUAUUGCUGUUAUAGAGUAGAAGGCCCCAAGCUGGGGACUACUGCAUGCAUGAAUGCUGCCCCCCUUGGCUUGGUACUGUCUGCUGUGAGCUCUAUACCAGUACCAGAGACUGUGAAGGGGAGAGGGCCCCAAGGCUGCUAUUUCCCCAUUUCAAUUCCUGCUCCUCUGACUGCAGCAAAUCCCAAAGAAAUGAUGGCUGAGAAGCAAACUUGGGGAAGAGUGUAGAAGGGCGGGCUGUUGGGCAGCGCAGGGGAUGCGUGGGAGGGCAGCACAAAAACGUGGGAAUGAGGAAAGGAGGAACAAAAGAGAUGUGGGUUGGCGAAGGAGAACAGCGGAGUGAAAAGCGGCCAGGCUGGUGCAGCAGUGAGGAGCAAUCCUUGUCCUGUGUGUGAAUACACCCAGCUGAGCCUUUUGCAUUUGCAGGCUGUUCAGGCAGAGCCCCCACAAAAGUGUGAGAGUCCCUGGAGACUGCACGGGCUGUGCCCUGCGGGAAGCAGCGAGUGGCACUGGGGUGAGGGACACCCCACACCCCACACCCCACACUGACUGUGGGGUGAGGGACACGCCACACCCCACACUGCUCCCACACUGUCUGUGGGGUGCUGUGGGUGCAGGUGGUGCUCAGGAUGAGGGACAAUCCACACCCCACACUGCUCCCACACUGUCUGUGGGGUGCUCUGGGCCUGGUCCCUGGCCACGUUCCCAUGGCAGGCCCCACACCCCACACCCCACACUGUUAGGUGCUGUGGGUGCAGGUGGUGCUCAGGAUGAGGGACACCCCACACCCCACACCCCACGUUGUCUGUGGGGUGCUCUGGGCCCAGUCUGUGGCUACAUUCCCAUGGUGGGCCCUGGGCUGGACUGGGGCCGAGUCUCCUGGUGAGCCUCUGAGCUGCCAGGGAAGGGAAGGGAAGGGAAGAGAUCGGAAGNNNNNNNNNNNNNNNNNNNNNNNNNNNNNNNNNNNNNNNNNNNNNNNNNNNNNNNNGAAAAAAAAAAAUAAUA
rnacentral:lncRNA from 12 species